rnacentral:rRNA from 1 species
UUAAGUUAUUAAGGGCGCACGGUGGAUGCCUUGGCACUAGAAGCCGAUGAAGGACGUUACUAACGACGAUAUGCUUUGGGGAGCUGUAAGUAAGCUUUGAUCCAGAGAUUUCCGAAUGGGGAAACCCAGCAUGAGUUAUGUCAUGUUAUCGAUAUGUGAAUACAUAGCAUAUCAGAAGGCACACCCGGAGAACUGAAACAUCUUAGUACCCGGAGGAAGAGAAAGAAAAUUCGAUUCCCUUAGUAGCGGCGAGCGAAACGGGAAGAGCCCAAACCAACAAGCUUGCUUGUUGGGGUUGUAGGACACUCUAUACGGAGUUACAAAGGACGACAUUAGACGAAUCAUCUGGAAAGAUGAAUCAAAGAAGGUAAUAAUCCUGUAGUCGAAAAUGUUGUCUCUCUUGAGUGGAUCCUGAGUACGACGGAGCACGUGAAAUUCCGUCGGAAUCUGGGAGGACCAUCUCCUAAGGCUAAAUACUCUCUAGUGACCGAUAGUGAACCAGUACCGUGAGGGAAAGGUGAAAAGCACCCCGGAAGGAGAGUGAAAUAGAACCUGAAACCGUGUGCUUACAAGUAGUCAGAGCCCGUUAAUGGGUGAUGGCGUGCCUUUUGUAGAAUGAACCGGCGAGUUACGAUUUGAUGCAAGGUUAAGCAGUAAAUGUGGAGCCGUAGCGAAAGCGAGUCUGAAUAGGGCGUUUAGUAUUUGGUCGUAGACCCGAAACCAGGUGAUCUACCCUUGGUCAGGUUGAAGUUCAGGUAACACUGAAUGGAGGACCGAACCGACUUACGUUGAAAAGUGAGCGGAUGAACUGAGGGUAGCGGAGAAAUUCCAAUCGAACCUGGAGAUAGCUGGUUCUCUCCGAAAUAGCUUUAGGGCUAGCCUCAAGUGAUGAUUAUUGGAGGUAGAGCACUGUUUGGACGAGGGGCCCCUCUCGGGUUACCGAAUUCAGACAAACUCCGAAUGCCAAUUAAUUUAACUUGGGAGUCAGAACAUGGGUGAUAAGGUCCGUGUUCGAAAGGGAAACAGCCCAGACCACCAGCUAAGGUCCCAAAAUAUAUGUUAAGUGGAAAAGGAUGUGGCGUUGCCCAGACAACUAGGAUGUUGGCUUAGAAGCAGCCAUCAUUUAAAGAGUGCGUAAUAGCUCACUAGUCGAGUGACACUGCGCCGAAAAUGUACCGGGGCUAAACAUAUUACCGAAGCUGUGGAUUGUCCUUUGGACAAUGGUAGGAGAGCGUUCUAAGGGCGUUGAAGCAUGAUCGUAAGGACAUGUGGAGCGCUUAGAAGUGAGAAUGCCGGUGUGAGUAGCGAAAGACGGGUGAGAAUCCCGUCCACCGAUUGACUAAGGUUUCCAGAGGAAGGCUCGUCCGCUCUGGGUUAGUCGGGUCCUAAGCUGAGGCCGACAGGCGUAGGCGAUGGAUAACAGGUUGAUAUUCCUGUACCACCUAUAAUCGUUUUAAUCGAUGGGGGGACGCAGUAGGAUAGGCGAAGCGUGCGAUUGGAUUGCACGUCUAAGCAGUAAGGCUGAGUAUUAGGCAAAUCCGGUACUCGUUAAGGCUGAGCUGUGAUGGGGAGAAGACAUUGAGUCUUCGAGUCGUUGAUUUCACACUGCCGAGAAAAGCCUCUAGAUAGAAAAUAGGUGCCCGUACCGCAAACCGACACAGGUAGUCAAGAUGAGAAUUCUAAGGUGAGCGAGCGAACUCUCGUUAAGGAACUCGGCAAAAUGACCCCGUAACUUCGGGAGAAGGGGUGCUCUUUAGGGUUAACGCCCAGAAGAGCCGCAGUGAAUAGGCCCAAGCGACUGUUUAUCAAAAACACAGGUCUCUGCUAAACCGUAAGGUGAUGUAUAGGGGCUGACGCCUGCCCGGUGCUGGAAGGUUAAGAGGAGUGGUUAGCUUCUGCGAAGCUACGAAUCGAAGCCCCAGUAAACGGCGGCCGUAACUAUAACGGUCCUAAGGUAGCGAAAUUCCUUGUCGGGUAAGUUCCGACCCGCACGAAAGGCGUAACGAUUUGGGCACUGUCUCAACGAGAGACUCGGUGAAAUCAUAGUACCUGUGAAGAUGCAGGUUACCCGCGACAGGACGGAAAGACCCCGUGGAGCUUUACUGUAGCCUGAUAUUGAAAUUCGGCACAGCUUGUACAGGAUAGGUAGGAGCCUUUGAAACGUGAGCGCUAGCUUACGUGGAGGCGCUGGUGGGAUACUACCCUAGCUGUGUUGGCUUUCUAACCCGCACCACUUAUCGUGGUGGGAGACAGUGUCAGGCGGGCAGUUUGACUGGGGCGGUCGCCUCCUAAAAGGUAACGGAGGCGCUCAAAGGUUCCCUCAGAAUGGUUGGAAAUCAUUCAUAGAGUGUAAAGGCAUAAGGGAGCUUGACUGCGAGACCUACAAGUCGAGCAGGGUCGAAAGACGGACUUAGUGAUCCGGUGGUUCCGCAUGGAAGGGCCAUCGCUCAACGGAUAAAAGCUACCCCGGGGAUAACAGGCUUAUCUCCCCCAAGAGUUCACAUCGACGGGGAGGUUUGGCACCUCGAUGUCGGCUCAUCGCAUCCUGGGGCUGUAGUCGGUCCCAAGGGUUGGGCUGUUCGCCCAUUAAAGCGGUACGCGAGCUGGGUUCAGAACGUCGUGAGACAGUUCGGUCCCUAUCCGUCGUGGGCGUAGGAAAUUUGAGAGGAGCUGUCCUUAGUACGAGAGGACCGGGAUGGACAUACCCUCUGGUGUACCAGUUGUCGUGCCAACGGCAUAGCUGGGUAGCUAUGUGUGGACGGGAUAAGUGCUGAAAGCAUCUAAGCAUGAAGCCCCCCUCAAGAUGAGAUUUCCCAACUUCGGUUAUAAGAUCCCUCAAAGAUGAUGAGGUUAAUAGGUUCGAGGUGGAAGCAUGGUGACAUGUGGAGCUGACGAAUACUAAUCGAUCGAAGACUUAAUCAA